rnacentral:rRNA from 1 species
AUGUAAGUUAAGUGGUAAAGGAUGUGGGAUUGCACAGACAACCAGGAUGUUGGCUUAGAAGCAGCCACUCAUUCAAAGAGUGCGUAAUAGCUCACUGGUCGAGUGAUCCUGCGCCGAAGAUUUCCGGGGCUAAAACUUACUACCGAAGCUACGGCAUCAGUAAUGAUGGGUAGGGGAGCUUCCCAUACGGGGUGAAGCAUGACCGUAAGGACAUGUGGACAGUAUGGGAGUGAGAAUGUUGGCAUGAGUAGCGAGAUGUGGGUGGGAAUCCCACAGGCCGUAAACCCAAGGUUUCCAGGGGAAGGUUCGUCCGCCCUGGGUUAGUCGGGACCUAAGCUGAGGCCGAAAGGCGUAGGUGAUGGACAACAGGUUGAUAUUCCUGUACUACCGAUAACCGUUUGAGAGAAGGGAUGACACAGUAGGAUAAGCUAAGCACACUG